GGGGAUUUAGCUCAGUGGUUCUGGCGCCUGCCUUGCAAGUGGAAAGUCCUGAGUUCAAUUCCCGGUACCCCCC
rnacentral:tRNA from 1 species